AGGCGGUGUCCUAAGUCCCCCGUGAAAGCUGCCCGCUCAACGGGCAGAGGUCGGGGGAGACUGGGACACUUGAGGGCGGGAGAGGCCGGCGGAACGGCGGGUGUAGCGGUGAAAUGCGUCGAUAUCCGCCGGAACACCAGUGGCGAAUGCGGCCGGCUGGAACGCCCCUGACGCUGAGGGACGAAGGCCGGGGGAGCGAACCGGAUUAGAUACCCGGGUAGUCCCGGCAGUAAACGGUGGGCGCUAGGUGUGGGGAGUCUCGACCCUCCCCGUGCCGCAGGGAAACCAAUAAGCGCCCCGCCUGGGGAGUACGGGCGCAAGCCUGAAACUCAAACCAAUUGACGGGGGCCCGCACAAGCGGCGGAGCAUGUGGCUUAAUUCGAUGCUACCCGAAGAACCUUACCAGGGCUUGACAUGCUGGCUUAAGCCCGCCCGAAAGGGUAGGGUGGGGCGGUUUCCACCGCCCAGCCAGCACAGGUGGUGCACGGCUGUCGUCAGCUCGUGCCGUGAGGUGUCCGGUUAAGUCCGGCAACGAGCGCAACCCCCGCCGCCAGUUGCCAGCGGGUAAUGCCGGGCACUCUGGCGGGACUGCCCGCGUAAGCGGGAGGAAGGUGGGGAUGACGUCAAGUCCGCGUGCCCCUGAAGUCCUGGGCUGCACACAUGCUACAAUGCCCGCUACAAAGGGUUGCGAACCCGCGAGGGGGAGCGAAUCCCAAAAAAGCGGGCUCAGUUCGGAUCGCAGGCUGCAGCUCGCCUGCGUGAAGCCGGAGUCGCUAGU
rnacentral:rRNA from 1 species